rnacentral:rRNA from 1 species
UGGCUCAGGAUGAACGCUGGCGGCGUGCUUAACACAUGCAAGUCGAACGGGAUCCAUCAAGCUUGCUUGGUGGUGAGAGUGGCGAACGGGUGAGUAAUGCGUGACCGACCUGCCCCAUACACCGGAAUAGCUCCUGGAAACGGGUGGUAAUGCCGGAUGCUCCAGUUGAUCGCAUGGUCUUCUGGGAAAGCUUUCGCGGUAUGGGAUGGGGUCGCGUCCUAUCAGCUUGACGGCGGGGUAACGGCCCACCGUGGCUUCGACGGGUAGCCGGCCUGAGAGGGCGACCGGCCACAUU